rnacentral:rRNA from 1 species
CACGUAGGGCGCAAGCGUUGUCCGGAAUUAUUGGGCGUAAAGAGCUCGUAGGUGGUCUGUUACGUCUGCUGUGAAAUCCUAGGGCUUAACCCUGGGCCUGCAGUGGAUACGGGCAGACUAGAGGUAGGUAGGGGAGAAUGGAAUUCCCGGUGUAGCGGUGAAAUGCGCAGAUAUCGGGAGGAACACCGGUGGCGAAGGCGGUUCUCUGGGCCUUACCUGACGCUGAGGAGCGAAAGCGUGGGGAGCGAACAGG